GUGCUCACUUCAGCACAUAUAUUAAAAUUGGAAUGAAGGAACGAUUAGUAUGGCUCCCACUCAAGGGUGGCAGGCAAAUUUGUGAAACUUUCCAUACUUUU
ensembl:snRNA U6 U6 spliceosomal RNA